GAGUUUGAUCCUGGCUCAGGACGAACGCUGGCGGCACGCCUAACACAUGCAAGUCGAACGGACGAGAGGAAGCUUGCUUCCUUGAGUUAGUGGCGGACGGGUGAGUAACACGUGAGCAACCUGCCUCUGAGAGAGGGAUAGCUUCUGGAAACGGAUGGUAAUACCUCAUAACAUAUUUAAAUCGCAUGAUUUGGAUAUCAAAGAAAUUCGCUCAGAGAUGGGCUCGCGUCUGAUUAGAUAGUUGGUGAGGUAACGGCUCACCAAGUCGACGAUCAGUAGCCGGACUGUGAGGUUGAACGGCCACAUUGGGACUGAGACACGGCCCAGACUCCUACGGGAGGCAGCAGUGGGGAAUAUUGCACAAUGGGGGAAACCCUGAUGCAGCGAUGCCGCGUAAGGAAGAAGGUUUUCGGAUGUAAACUCCUU
rnacentral:rRNA from 1 species